GCCGGUGAGAGCCUGGGGACCGCAGAGGUGAGAGUCGCGCCCGGGAGUCCGCCGCCUGCGCGAGGAUGGAGUUCGUGAAAUGCCUGGGCCACCCCGAAGAGUUCUACAACCUGGUGCGCUUCCGGAUCGGGGGCAAGCGGAAGGUGAUGCCCAAGAUGGACCAGGCCCGGGUGGACGCGGCCGUCGUGGCUGACCUGUCCCUGCCCCCGCAAGCCGCCCUGUGCAUGAGCGACUUCUGCGUGGUUCCCGGUGGUUGCGCUCCCCGUUUCGUCCCCUCCGUGAGCAUCGGCGCUUACCGAUAACAUCACAUGAAGGCCGUUUCUGGAAUGAAGUCUGACUCCAACAGUUUCACCACCUCCUCCGGAGCUCUCCCCGCCUUGCUGCCUUCCAUUGCUUCAUCCUCGGUGCUUCCUGAGUUUUAAAAUCGCCUAUCUACGCUUCCAAGUUCCAAUGAGUUAUCUGUACGUCUAUGGAUUAGCUAGGUGGUUGGUGGAAGGUCAGAACUUGGUUUUAGUUAGAUUUUAUCUGCCUCAUGCCUGUACUGUUUGUUUAAUGAAUGCAUAGGAGGUGUUUUUAUUCCAACAAGAAAAUUAUUCGUACGUGAUUAUUGAAUGAAUAGACAAAUUCAGCCAAGUUCUUCUGGUCUGGACCAGCCUGGCUGAUUUCUGUGACUUUUUUGGGCCAACAGGACAGUAGCAAAUGUGACUCAGGCCGAGGCUUGAUAGGUGCCUGAACAUCGGAGUCUUUCUUUCAGUGUCCAUGUGCUUCAGUAAACACACUAGCAAAUAAAUUUCUGGUUUUUGUCCCCA
rnacentral:sRNA from 1 species